GUGAAAUUAGUGUACACUUUCAAAAAUUAUACUAACUCUGUAUUAAAAAUAAGUGUACUUACUAUAAGUACACUAAGUUACCACUAUUGUUGUGGAUCAGUGUCUGUCUCCCUGUCCCUGCCUGUUUUCCUGUUCCCCUUUCCCUUGUGUGUGUGUUGUCUGUGUCUGUCUCCACCGGCUGUUACAUGUCACUCAAGAGGAUCUAGGUCAAGGGGCGUGGCCACUCUCACCUGCUCUGCUCCAGCCAGCUGCAGAUCAUUCCAGUAAUCAACCAACAGCCAGCUGCAGCUCAUUCCAGUACUCAACCAACAGUUAUCAACCCGGGCUGUUCACCUCUUCAGCGCCAGUUCGUUGCAACCAUUCUCGUGAUUCUGCCUCUGGACCUGCUGCUCAUCAGCUUUUCAUCUGCCUCCUCGCUGCCUACUCACCUCGCCGCUCCGCUCUCAACCAGCCAUUCCACCCAGCCAUCAUCUUCGCUGCCUGGCCACACACCCGCCUUCUGAUCUCCGGCUUCGACCCUGCCUGGAGCAGCUAUUCUGGCCAUCUCCCUCCUCCGCUAUCAAACAUCGUUUCUAAUAAACACUGUAAACUGCU